AAAACGGUAAUGUGCGCAUAUGCAAUGUUGGGUACUAUUCUCCAACUUAACGUUGAGUAGUUUGUACCUAACGUUGGAUGAAAAUAAUUGAACCCUAUAGCGAGCUUUGUUGAUGGUGGUUUUGCUCGUUUUAUUUACUUCGUGAUUAGUUUUUUCCGCGGUGGCAUUUCGUUCGCGGUUUCGUUUAUGAACCAUUGACUGUUCGAUGUCGAAUGUUCGAAAUUGGACUGCAGUGUUACGUAUAAACAGCAGAAAAUGGAAGAACAGCAUCAAUCUUCUUAUGACUUAGAUGGAUCAUCGAGACUACCAGACAUUUUCAUACCGACCCGUGAUAGCUAAUCAGGAAGCUCAAUAGUAUGCCAAACUGUGGGACUACUGCGGAUCGAAUCCCGAGGCUGGAAUGCAGCCGCAGCCGGGUUCGAAUCUAAUGGCAUCCGCACCCACAAUAUUUUUGACAUAGGACUACGUGCUAGUUUACUACACUGGGUUUCACGCCAACUCAACCAGAA